GGGGGGACAGGCAGGCAAGGACGGGUCAUAAAGAUCUCCUGUGCCUUUCAGAGGUGGUCUGAUUUCGCCCCAAAAGAAGCCACUGAGGAAUUUGGAGCAGACUUAGGGAGAUCGUUGGGCCUGGUUGAGCACUGCAAGGAGUAGGAAUCUUCAGAGGGCUCGGGCGGAUUCGGAAUUGCUUAUGUCAGGGGCGCCUGGGUGGCUCAGUCCGUGAAGUGUGCAAGUCUUGACUCUUGAUGUCGGCUCAGGUCAUGAUCGCACGGUUCGUGAGAUGGAACCCCGUGUCGGGCUCUGUGCUGACCGUGCGGAGCCUGCUUGGGAUUCUCUCUCUGCCCCUUCUCAGCUCGCUCACGUGAGUGUGUGCGCUCGUGCGCGUGUGCUCUCUCUCUCAUAAUAAGUAAAUAAACCUAAACAAAUAGAA